rnacentral:rRNA from 1 species
UACGUAGGGUGCGAGCGUUGUCCGGAAUUAUUGGGCGUAAAGGGCUCGUAGGCGGUCCAUCGCGUCGGGUGUGAAAAGCUGGGGCUUAACCCCAGUCCUGCUUUCGAUACGGGUGGACUAGAGGUAGGCAGGGGAGAAUGGAAUUCCUGGUGUAGCGGUGAAAUGCGCAGAUAUCAGGAGGAACACCGGUGGCGAAGGCGGUUCUCUGGGCCUUACCUGACGCUGAGGAGCGAAAGCAUGGGGAGCAAACAGG